rnacentral:lncRNA from 1 species
ACACAGCCUCGCUCUCAUUUUUCCAAGGGAAGAAGCAAUAAGUUUGUAGCCUUGGGUUAUGAACCUCUUGGUCUCUCAAUCGCAGUCUCGGCUGUGGUCAUUAUGAGUUCAGUAAAUUUUGGAACCUUUGCAAAAUGCUGUGGCCUCUUCAGCAAGAAGCCGUUUGUCUGAAGUGGGUUUUGUUCAGUGGAUACAGAAGUUGCUGGAAUGUGAUGGCAGGAAAAUCCAUGGGGGUAUCAAAGGAAAAAAGAGACAUUUCAGGCUGAGAAUGAGAGCUGCAGAAAGCCCUGAUUAAGAAAGUGUCACUGCGAGUCUGAUGAAGGAAUGAGAGGGCACAGCCUGGAGUUAAAUAUCAAAGUACAGACAGUUCACAAAGCAAUCGGUGUAAAGGACAUUAAUCAAGUUGGCGCCAAGAGGUCUAUUCACAAGAUCUCCUCCCUAACAAGGACCACUCCCUCUGGAGGGAGGAAUCUUCCACGCUGUUGCUGGGAUGGGAUCCACCUGGACUGAUUCUUAAAUGGCUCUGCUUCAACCCCUUCCCUGCCUUGCAGCCAGCAGAGCCCUCUGAAGCUCCAGGAACAGAAAACUGGGGUUGAAUUAAUCGCCCGUGGCUCCGGAUGCAUUUCCUGCAUCGCACAAUUCAUCUCUGCAUUCACUCGUUGGUCUCGUUAGGUUUGAUUAAAAUUUGGUAGGGGAUUCUAGGACCUUCCAAUGACCCAUUGUGGUGUGUGCUGGAAAUUCAUUCAGGUCAAUUAGACAUCUGCCACGUUCAGCCUCACAGGCCAUGACAUAUGUUUGCUCAACAGGGUACGGCAACAAGGAGAAAUUGAAUUCACAUCCCGAGCAAGGUGCCACGACGGUGUAUCAAUAUCGG